rnacentral:tRNA from 1 species
CGGGUGUGGUUCAAUGGUAGAACUUGAGCUUCCCAAGCUUACAACGCGGGUUCGAUUCCCGUCACCC